rnacentral:lncRNA from 1 species
AGUUGUCACUCUAAAAUUGGGAAUUAAUUAAUAUUUAGAUAAUUAUUAGUUGAAUAGUGGUGAAUUCUGAAACCUUGGUAAUUUUUGUCUUAUUGAAAUCUCAUUUACUUUAAUUGUUUUCUUAGUUUAAUUUCUUUUAAAACUCGAUUUGCUCAACUAGGUUAGGAUUAAUAUUAAUUGAUUUAAAUUAGACAUUUCAAUUUAUAACAAUCUUUGUGGGAUCGACCUCGUUACCACUAUUUUAUUUCUAGAUUCGUGCGCUUGCGAGUAUAUUAAAAUUUUCACAACAAGUUUUUGGCGCCGUUGCCGGGGAUUGUGUCAGAAAGUCAGUUUAAUCUAGGUUAAUUUGAUUCUUCCACUAGUUUAUUUUAUUUAUUCAAUUUUUAUUUUAAAAAAACACAAAAAAAUUUAAUUUUUUAUUUAUUUUGAAUUUAUUGUUUGGUUGUUUGUUUUCUUUUAUUUUAAUUUUGUUUAUUUUUAUUAUUGUUGUUUUAUUUUUCUUUAUUUGUCUAGUUAGUUUAUGAGUGUUUGGGAACGUGAUUCAACAAAUCGUUUGAUCAAAAAUAGAGUCAAAAAUUAAUUGUAGUCGAGAUAGUUCUUUAGAAGUGAUGGAUGACCCAAAUAGACUAUUGACAAUACUUCCACCAGUGCAAGCAGAGAAAACCCUUAGAGAAUAUUUUUUACCACUUGCAGCCAACCAACCAUCUUGUAUUGUGUUGCCACAAACUACAGCAACACACUUUGAACUUAAGCUCUCAGUCAUUCAACUUUUACUAUCUUUUCAUGGGUUAGAGAGAGAGGAUCCAUAUUUGAACAUUAAGGAAUUUCUUGACAUAUGCUUUACAUUCCGUUUUCAAAAUUUUAAUGAUGAGUCAAUUAGGCUUCGUAUGUUCCCUUUCUCGUUAAAAGACAAAGCGAAAGCUUGGUUGAAUUCACUUCCUGCUGGGUCUAUUACUACGUGAGAUGAAUUGAGUAAUAAGUUCCUCACCAAAUUUUUCCCUAUGUCUAAAACAAAUGCCCUUAGGAGAGAGAUAAGUGAUUUUUAUCAAAGAGAGGGUGAGCAAUUUUAUGAGUGUUGGGAAAGAUUUAAUGAUUUACUCCUUAAGUGCCCCCACCAUGGUUUUGAGAAAUGGAGACUUAUACAGUGUUUUUAUAAUGGUUUAACUAUGUCAAAUCGUCAUAUGGUAGAGUCUAUGAAUGGUUGGAGAUUUUUAAACCUACAUGAAGGGGCUGCAUGAGAUUUCUUUAAUUCACUUUAUGAGAAUUCUCAACAGUGAGAUUUUUCAAAUCAAAGGGAAAAAUUGUCUCAAGUUUCUAGAAAGGGUUUAUACGAAGUUAAAGAUGAUUUUGAUGUGAAAUCCACUCUAGCUGCACUUUCUAGGAAAGUAGAUGCCUUAGCUCUGAACCAAUCAAUGAAUCACCAUCCUAGUGUAGCUAAUGAGGUUUGUGCUCUUUGUUCAAACAUGUCUCAUGCGGCACAAAAUUGUCCAUCAUUACCAGCCUAUCAAGAGGCUUAUUCUGAGCAGGUACAUGACUUACAAUCAUAUGAGAAAACCUCCAAUAAUCCAUACUCACCCACAUAUAAUCCUAAUUGGAGGAAUCACCCUAAUUUUUCUUGGAAACAAAAUCAACCUUUGUCAAACCAAAGAGGACAACAAUUUAGCUUGCCCAAUCAACAAUUUGUCCCUCUUAACCAAGUAUAUCCUCCUGCCCAACAACCCAUGUCUCAAUUUGUUGCACCCCAACAAAGAAAGCCUUCUUCAGAGGAUACACUUCAAAGUUUCAUUCAGUCAACCCAAUAAGCUUUUCAGUCAAACACUCAAGCUAUUCUAAAGCUUGAACAUCAAUUGGGUCAAUUAGCAACUAUUGUGGCUGAGAGAGAAAAAGGAAAAUUCCCAAGUCAACCAAUUCCUAAUCCCAAAGGAGUGCAUGAAGUUGGAUCGAGUUCAAUCCAUCAGCAUGAAGAAGCAAAAUCUAUUAUGACCUUGAGAAGAGGAAAAUUGUUUGACAACAAAGUAGAGGUUCAAACAAGGAAGACAUCUAAGCCUACUUCUUCAGAUCCAGUUCCAUCACAAGACUCAUCACCAAAUGAUCAAGAAGAGAGUGGUCCACCAACUUACAUUCCCAAGGCUCCUUUUCCUCAAAGGUUAGCAAAGGUAAAGAAAGGGACUUCAACAGGUGAGAUUAUGGAAAUCUUCAAGCAGGUAAGUAUAAACAUCCAUUUACUCGAUGCUAUUAAGCAAGUUCCUUCAUAUGCCAAGUUUUUAAAAGAUUUAUGCAUUAAAAAGAGAAAUUUGCAUGUCACCAAAAAUGCAUUUUUAACUGAACAAACUAGCAAUUUACUCCAAUGUAAAAUGCCACCAAAAUUUAAGGAUCCUGGUUCCCCUACUAUCUCAUGUGUUAUAGGGAACCAAUUGUUUGAUAAAACAUUAUUGGAUUUAGGCGCUAGUGUUAAUCUCUUGCCUUAUUUUGUUUACAUGCAGCUUGGACUAGGUGAGUUAAAAUCAAAUUCCAUUGUUUUGCAACUUGCUGAUAGGUCAAUGAAAAUACCUCGUGGUAUUAUAGAGGAUGUGUUGAUACAGAUUGACAAAUUUUAUUAUCCUGUUGAUUUUAUUGUUAUUGAUACUCAACAUAUACAGGAUCCUAAGAAACACACCCCAGUUAUUCUAGGUCGUCCUUUCUUAGCUACAGCUGAUGCUCAUAUUAGUUGUAGGAUUGGAAACAUGCAAUUGUCUUUUGGUAACAUGACCAUGGAAUUAAACAUUUUUAAUGUUCCCAAGUAGGCACAAGAAGAUGAUGAAUUCGUUGAAGUAGAUAUGAUAGAAGCAUCAAUUGAUGAUUCACUUAUUUCUAACCACUGUGACAAUCCAUUAAUACCAUGCACAACUGACUUUGAUUUCUCUGUUGAUGUUGAUAGUGGUAUUGAAGAAGUUAAUGCUUUACUUGAUUCGACUCUUAUCAUAGAUCUAAUUAAGUGGAAAGAAAAGAUUGAGCCACUUCCUCCUGAAGAGAAAAUUGAAUCAUUCAAGUUGGAGCUACUUCCUAAAAAAAUGCAACAUAUGUUACAUUCUGACAUGAAAAGGUGGUAAGAUCUAAAGUGUUUAAAUUAUUAGAUUUUUAUACUACUUCAGAUAACUCUCAAGAAAGCUUGGAACAAAAGAGAUCAAAGCAGUGCGAUAUUGAGGAGUUUCAUUACCAUCAUCCUUUUAUGGAUAAAAUGCUCCAGUGCUUAAUCAAAUUAUGCUUUCUGGUAUUUUCUGUAUAAUUGCUUUGAUUCGUACGCUUGCGAGUAUAUUAAAAUUUUCACAACAUCAAACAACUGAGCCCGAUAGUAUAAAGUAGGCACAAUCUUGUAUGAAACUCAAUUUAAUUAAUUUACCUGUACUCCGUCAAUAAAGCAUCUAUCGCCUACAUCAAAUGGGUGCGUCACAAAUACAAAUAUGAUGGCUUCAAAACAAGUCCUGGCUGUAUUACCAAACAUGAAUGCCAGAAGUAAAAGCUGGGAUGUAAUGACGGCAAUUACUUUGUAAGUCAAAAGACCCAUCACUAGCAACCACACUAUGAUGAUCACGACAACCACAAUUCCUGAAAGAAUCCUGUUCAAUUCUUCUAUGGCAGUUUUGGCAUCAUUUAAGGAACGCUUCAGAGUUUUGCGGUCAUUAUAAACUUUUAUCUGCAAUGAAAAUAACUUCAUCACAAGAUGAGUUGAUGGUGUAUGACAAGUGAAGUAGAAAUUGUAGGAGAUAUAUGACAAUGCAGUGUUUUGGGCUACGUAUAAAUGAGUUUGAAUUAGUUUUAAUUUAUUAGUGUUUUUUUUUUCAAGUUCUUUUGGUGUGCUUUCAGUUAUAACAUUAAACGAUCAAGAUUUUGUUAACAGUGUAUUCUUAUCUAAAAAUUAUUAAUAAAAAAAUUUCUAUAAGUCAAAACAAAUAUUAGGUCAUCAUGGAUCCAAAUAUCGUACAAAUAUAUAAUCGUUAUGUUGAUUACACAUUUAUAUCAAUUCAUAUACCUCAUAUGAAAAUUUAUUGUGGUUUUUUUAAUUAGCAAUACAAAUUUAUCAUUUAAUUAAGAAGAGUUCUUUAGUAAUGCAUCUAACUAAAGAACUUAUUUAGUGCUAAGUUGAGCUUCGUGCUUGGCUUUUUAAACAGUGCGAUUGAUAGUUAUUAGAUUAAAAAAAUAAUAUAAUUAACCAUAAAAUGCCAUAAAUAAAAACCAAACUAAAUUCAAAUCAAACUCAAUCUGUUCUAGAAAUAGGAACUAAAUAAGAGCUUGAUUUUAAUUUGUUCUCGUUAGUUUCGAUUUACUUUUGGUUUGGGGUUUUAUUGUUUGUUUUAUUACUAAUUUGGUUCUUUCCUCUAAGAGACAAAAGGAAUCAACCUCAACACUAAACUGUUUAGUUUGAAAUUUUUUUAACCGAACAUAGACCAAAUUUAAUUCAGUUUGGCUUGAUUAAAUUCAAUAACGAUUGGUUCAACCCGAAAUGGUUCAACUUUUAAUUUGGUUGGUUUGAUUCAAUUGUAUCUCCUUAACGUGACUGAAGAUCAUAAUAAAAUCAGCACAACACAACUCAAUUCAAUAUUGAAUCUAAAUCCAAAGAAUCUUACCACCCAUUUCUUAAAAUCUGCCUUAUUGAUUUUUCCGCUCUUGACCGCUCUAAACAAUUUCAGCAUUUUUUUCACAUGUUGCUCAUCGUCCAAGAACUCCUUAAGCUUCUGCUCCCCGAUAAACCUAGUCAUUGUUAACAAUAACAAAAUAAAAACAACGAGAUGAAUUGAUUCCGAAAAAAAUCAUAUGAAACUGGAAUUUUAUUUAGUUAAAGUAACUAGACUCACUCGCUUUGAGGCGUUUCUAGCUUCUUGAUUAUCUUAUCGGCGAGAUUUUUAGCUUCUGAUUCGCUUUUAAUCUCACUGAACUCAUCAAGCUCACUUGACAUUGACGACUUUAAGCCACUGCAACUGAUUAAUCCUUGCAAGAUACAGGCAGAAAUCUUCUCUAUCGUCGUUAUUCUUUUAGCCUUUUUUUCCUUGUUAAUCCUAGAAAUAAACUGCAUCGCUAUAUUUGCGUUCCUUAAUUUUUUAACCUUAUUUUUUUGUGGAGCUGAAAGAACCUGAACAACGUGCUGAUGAAAGAUCGAUUGAUGAAUCUGAUGGAAGAAUCGCUUGCUUUGGAAAGAAACACUUUUUAACUUAACUGAGAGAGUCUUCACGAACCAAACAGCAGCCCCAGCAACAAAAGAAGCAAGAGUCCUUGUAAUGUGAUGGAAAAUUUUACUAGUUUCUUUUGAUCGCUUAACCCCAUACCCAUAGUCAAACAGAAAGAUCCAGACUAAAAGGACACAAGUCAACCAAAUAAAAACGCUCACACUUGUCCUCAACCCAUAAACAAAAUACAGAACCAAAUGCUUAAGCAUGAAUUUUUUUUCAAUGAGCAAAACAGUAAUAGUGAUGAAGCAUCGACUAACCAGAGGACCAGAGAGAGUCACCAAUGCUAACAGACACCAUUUCCACAGCUCUAGAUCCCAUAUGACAUGGUUUUGCAACUUUUUCAAGGCUAAGCUGGCAAUUAACAAGCACAAUAUGGACACAAAUAUAAUGAACUCAAGCAUGAGUGAAAUGUCCUUUACUUUACCUAUUAUUAUAUUUUCAUCAUCUUCCUCUCCCUCCUCUUCCUCUUUCUCUUCCUCCUCGUCUUCAUCCUCUCUUGAAGCAGCUGACUUCAAGUUCUUUGCUUGCUCUCUUAAAUGAGAUUCUUCGGUAUCUGUAUUAAUCUGUAUCACGGUAUUGUCGUUUCCUUUGUCCUUUUUACCUUCCAUUUGCGCUAAUGAGGAAGAAGAGCUAGAGUUGCCUAAAAGGGAGUUGUGUGUACUAGCAGAAAGCGAAACCGCCAUAUAUAGAGCAGCAAUACGAAUUUGGGAGAUUUACGAAAAUAACCUAAAAACUUUUGUAAUUUUUACAAUUAACCCUCCAAACUUUUUCCUAUCAACAUAAGCCAAACACAAGGUUUUCUCCCCAAAUUACUCUUGUUUACAAACCAAAAGCAAAUUUCCUUCUCCCCCUUUAUCAAACCGAACGCAGCCUUGCACUCUUGAAUCAUUAUCGGCGACGGCAAACAUCAUCGGAAACGGGAAACGGCAAACGGCAAGGGCAAACGCCAACGACAAACGGUAAAAGUGAACUUCAAUCAAAUACAGCAUAAUACAUCCAGAUCCAACACCAAUUCGUAUCAUCGAACGGUAAGAGGUAUUUUCUGAACUUGCAAGUGCGGUAGCCUGUCGCACCAAGAUGCAGAUUUACCCGAAUCUGCCUCUUCGUGCAACAAUCGUCCGUGUCACACCAAAAUCGUGCGACAGGCUGCCUGUCGCACCAAGGGGCAGAUUCAUUGUAACUCACUCUUGUUGCGACAGUGCGACAAGCAACUUGUCGCACCAACAUACAAUUAUUUUUUUAUGUAAUAUAUAAAAAUUUAUUCUCUUUAUUAGUUUCAUAGUGCGUAAUUAAUUUUUUUUAAUAUUUCAGGUUUAAUGGAUUCAGUUGUGCUUCAAUUGUGUUAUGAUGAUUGGUGGGAGAUGUCAAGGGAUGGCGGUAUGGAGUAUGUGAAUGGUAAAAAUACAUUUUUUUUAGUUGGAAAAAAUUGUCUGUUCGAGUACUUUUUGGCAAGAGUAUAUGGGGUCUUACAAAUAAAUACUAAUGAAUAUAAUAUCAUAAUAAAGACAAUUUUGAGGUCUAGUAACACAUUCUAUUGUAUGUGUGCACUGCCCAUGGACAUAUUUAAUGAUGAAAUUGUGAGGGUUGUUUUGCAUAUGGCAUCUGAUGUGGCCAACUAUGGAUGCAUUCAUAUAUUUGUUACCACAUCUCCUCGAGUUCCGAGCGAAGAUCUUGAGCCACCCGUUGAAACAGAAACUUCCUUAGAGCAAAUAUGUCUGGCCCUGAUAUUGAAGAGGAGGUGCUGCCAAGGACAAUAUCGUUGCAACAAUAUUACUCUCCACUCGAUGACAAUAAUGACAACAUUGAUGACAACGACAUUAUAUUAGUGGAUAUUGAAGAAGAGGUAUUACCACUAACGACAUCGUGGGAGCAACAGUAUUCUCUGUAUCAUAACAAUGAUUUCCACGACAAUGAUGAUUCUGUUGAUGACUUUAGCAACGCGGAGGCAAAUAAUGUUUGUCCAAAACCUUCUAAUGCAAGUGAUGAUGGAGGUGUUAGUCCUUCCAAUAUUCCAUCGUUUCAGCACGAGGAUGAGUGUGAAGAUGAUAAUCUUGUGAAUAACAGAGACAAUCGAUCUAUUCUUCCAAUGGCCGGUUCAAGAAGGAGGAUUGAACCCCUCACAAGUCUUGCUCUAAUUUUUCCUUCGAACAUGGCUGCUUCAAGUUUUCUUAGCAGUUCUGACUCAGAUGAUAUCAGCGUAGGUAAGUUAUUCGCUGAGAAGAAUGAGUUAAUAUUACAACUGCGCAAGGUUGCCUUUAGGGAUAAGUUUGAUUUCAAGAUUGUACGGUCUACAACGACACAUUUCGAGGCUCACUGUUGUUCGGAAUCAUGUAAAUGGUGUAUUCGAGCAAUUAGAAGUUCAAACGAGCAUAUUGGUCUUCAGGUGGUGAGGAGAAUUGACAAUGUAUACACUUGUCAUAAUGAGGUAUUGGUUGAUGGUCGUCAUCAAGUAACGAGCCGACUUGUCGGUCAUAUUAUCGCAAAUAAAUAUAUUCAAGAAAAAAGAAUAUACACUCCGAAUGACAUCAGAGCAUAUAUGCUGCAGGAGUACGGUGUGCGGUUAACAUACCAACAUGCAUAUCGAGCUAGAGAAGUUGGUCUUGAAAUAGUUCGAGAGAACCCUGCAGAGUCAUACAACCUGCUCCCUAAAUACUCUCACGUAUUGACUAAAGCGAAUGAGGUACAGUCACACACCUCGAGCGAGAUAGAAAUGGUAAUUUCUUGUACUACUUUGUAGCACUUAGAUCUUCCAUCAAGGGUUUUAUGCAGUACAUUCUGCCUAUCAUUGUUGUGGAUGGUACUUAUCUAAAGGGGUUAUAUCAUAGAAGCAUUUUCGUGGCAACAUGUCUGGAUGGUAAUAAUUAACUGUAUCUGUUAGCCAUUGGGGUCAUGGAUUCAGAAAACAAUGAUGCUUGGAAAUGGUUUAUGAUGAACUUACAUAGAGUGAUUGGCGAUAGGCCGGAGUUGGUAAUUAUCUCUAAUCGAUGCACUGUCAUAAGGAGAGUCAUUCUGAAAAUAUUUCACAAUGCAGCUCAUGACGUUUGUAUUUACCAUGUGAAAGGUAACAUUAAGUCAAAGUUCAGGAUGUCCAAAACUCUUUAGGAUGAGUUUGAUCCUACCUUUAUUAAUGCAGCAAAAGCAUAUGGAUACGAAGAAUUUAAAAGGCAACUUAAAGGGUUGUGGAUGCUCCACUCGGGCGCGGCUGAUUACUUAGAGAAUAAUGUAAGUACGUGUAAUUGGCUGAGGUCUCAAUUUGAAGGUAGGAUGUACAAUAUAUUUACCACCAACAUCGCGGAGAGUGUUAAUUCUUUCAUGAGGGAACCACGAAAAUUUCUUGUUACUCAUCUUGUUGAUCACUUUAGAAAAACAAGGCAACAAUGGUUUUAUGAUAGAAAAAUUAUGGCUGAAUCAAUGAGUACUCGGCUAACAAUAUGGGCGGAUGAAAUAGUCAUUGAGAGGAGAACUAUGGCUGAAAGAAUGAUCGCUCGCCUAGUGUCUCCGUAUUGAUUUCAAGUUGUAGGUGGUGGGAUCAACGAAGGUUUAGUUGACAUACAAAAUAGAACUUGCUCCUGUAGAGUAUUUGAGCUUGAUCAGCUUAUCUGUGCUCAUGUAUUUGCGGCUUGUCUGACUGUCCGAGUGGAUUACAUAAACCUUUAUUCGGACUACUACACCAAGGAAUCGUUAGCGAUGGCUUAUGCACAACCAGUGGAGCCGGUUGGCGACGUGGCUGAUUGGGAAGUUUCAGAUGAAAUUCAAAAGAUGCAUGUUUAUCUACCUGUUGAGGCACCACCACCUAGUCAUCGUAAAGAGCUUAGAAUACCCUCGACUGGCGAGGAUGUCAACCAGAGGACUGUUAGAUGCGAGCGGUGUAAUGAAUCAGGACAUAAUCGUAAGCGAUGUAAGAAUUUCAUUGCAUCGAGUCGAAGUUAGUCGUAUUGUUUCAAGUGAUUAUGUUAAAAUAUUUGUUACUUUUUUGUGUAUUGUACACUUAUAUUUCAUGAAAUUUUAUUCCUAAGUUUUUAUUUUAUAUUAAAAUGUGAGCAUGAAAAUUAUAUAAACUUAAGUACGCAAAUUAGAAACAAAAAUCUAUGUUUCAAUAUUCGAAUUACUACAACGGUUUACAAUACAAUAUCAUCAUUAAAUAUGUCAACUGCAAUCUUCUUUCUAAAGUACUCCCCAUGACUACCGUUAAAAUUUAAUUUAAGCCCGAACAUUAAAUACAUCGUAAACAUCAACAAAAAACACCGCAAUCACCAGUAUCGGGCUCUUGUUGUGGCACACCCUUAACUACAACAACUUUCCAUGGGUUGGCACUCUACAACUCAGAUCAAAUGUUGUAAAAUCCAACAUAUUCCAACCAUCAAGGGAAGAUAACUUCAAACGGCCUGAACUUUAACUUGUAUUUUUUAUCGUCUCGAAACAUCAACAGUGAGUCAUAAAUCUAGACUUUGUUCUUACGAAAGUCAACUCGGACUAGUACCUAAUGCUCGCGGUACAGGUUAAUAGGGAUGAAUACCUGUAUAUAAAAAAUUGUCGUAAAUGUAUCAUGUAUCAUAUGAAAUUGAAAAACAUACAACAAAAAGACAUAUUUGAUUGUGUCUGUAAAAUUAAAUAAAAUACACACUAUAUCGACAUCCGUCAUUGGUUUGGACAUGAUGUGCUGCCGCCUACCAAUAUAGUUAUUCAAGUUGUCGCUAUUGUGAAAUGACUAUAAUGCCCCUAAAAUACAUAAAAUACUUAAUUAAAAUAAAACACACGGAAUUAAAUCAAAAGAAGGUUAAAUUCAUAAAAGUAAAAGUGUUAGUAAAACUUGUAGUGUAAAAUGAUGAUUUUCUCCUUUAUAAAUAUACAUUUUCUAACACUCAACACACCCCCCAACCAGCUUAUUGCUAGUCCCUAGCAAAUAAAGCGAAAAUGAAAUUCAAAUCCAAAAUGAUAUUUUUUUUUUUAAUAGAAACACUCGUGUUUAUUCAAUUAGAUUGAUGAUAGCAAUCAAAUAAAAGUAUAAGCAUUAUCUCCAGUCUAAAGCAACAUCACACCCACAUCAACCAUCCACAUGAAUUAGCCCAGUAGACUUUGUUAUAGUUACUUUCAAGAAUGACAUGUCAAACCCCAAAAUCUCACUGGAAGUAGUGACACUCUCACAAAGAAAUUAAACCCAAAAAAUAGUCACUCCAAUGAAUGGUAAUUGAGAGAAAAUAAUGAAAAAGUGAUAUCACAUGCUCUCACCAAGAUGAAAUAAAUAUGCCCUCAGCUUAGAAAUAAUACAAUCUUAAGUCAAAUAAAAAAAAUGUUAGUCAACCCAAUUUAUUUAUUUAUUUUUUUUAUAUGCACCACUACAUCUUUUUAGCCCAUAUAACUAGCUUAUACUUCAAACUAUAGUUCCCUAAAAUCAAGAAGGACUUUUAUUAGGACGUAGCGUAGGCUAGGGAUAUGGCUAACAAAGAAAGGAAAUAAGGAAAACAAAGUGUAUGUUUGAGAAAAAUGCAGAAAUAUUUUUUUUUUUUUUUUUUUGAAGUUGCAAGGUGGAUUUCACCUAUUAUUGUUAUUUUAUUCUUUUGAAACAAUAAUUUUUGUUUUUUUUUUUUUGCUUUUAUUUGGCAUAACUUCACUUAACAACAUAAUUAUUUACAUUUUCUCAAACAUAAAUAGGUGAUGGAACUUAUAAGACAUCGGGUAAUACUCCAAAUCAGAGUGGGUCAAGAUGAUAAGUUGACAAAGAAAAGGUUUUUUUUUUUUUUUUUUAAAGGCUCAAAAGGGGUAACUAUGGAUAUUUAAUAAAAGGGAUGGCUAGAAAGGCUCAAACGGAUCAAAGAUGGCAUUUUCAUCGUUUUUUAGGGCUCUAAAUAAUUAUCCAUAUCUACUAGUUAGAUGGGCCUCCCAAUGUAACAACACACAUUUUUUUUUUCUUUUUUUAUUUAAUUUUUAUUUAAUUUUUUUUUUAAAGGGUUAACUUAAAAGAAAUCUAGAGAUCGUGUAUAAAAUAAUAAACUGCUAAGCUGUAUAGAGAAUGGGCAAAAGGGUUACUCUCCAAGAAAAUGAUAGGCUCAACAACUCACUUGGCACUUAUUUAUGACACGUUCAUUCCUUCAAGCAACUCAUAUUUGUCUCCGACAUCAACAUGUAAAGUAGCAAACAUAGCGUAACAUCACUUAAGACCAAAGAUAAUACAAAUACUAAAAUUUGAAAUUAAUCAUGUCAUCCAAUGUUAAAACAAAUAACACAAUUUUUUUUUUAAACAACAUUCUACCCCCCAACCUAUUCUAAACAUGAAAGGAAAAUAUGCAUGCAGAAAUGUGAAAAUGAUGUAGAAAAAAUUAAUUAGAAAAAGAAAUUUUUUUUUUUUUUAACUAAGAAGAUGCGUUUCUAGAGGCACUAUACUCCAUAUUCAGCCAUCUUCGACUCAAAAAUUUGAAAAUAUAUAUUUAUAAAGGAGAAAGAGGAAGAAAACGAUUUUUUUUUUUUGUUUUUUUAAACGAUGAAGAUGCGUUUCUAGAGUAACUACACUCCAUAUUCAGCCAUCUUCAACACAAAAUGUUAGCAACAGUUAGUUUCUACAACAAAAAAUCAGUAAAAACUUAACCAAGAUUCCACAAUUGUCGACUAUUCUCUCCCCCCAACCAGAACGAAACAUUGUCCUCAAUGUUUUAAAGGAAAGAAGUAGAGUUUAGAAGACAUCACCUGGGUGGUGCAACACAGAAGAAAAUAUUUACAGGCGGAGAGUUAAAUCUAAUUUGUACUUCUUACUGCGACUACUGUUAGCAUCAUUAUUUGGUCGCUCCAACACAAAGGUCCAGGGGUCUGGCUCCGGUUUAUAAGCUUGUAACAUAUCAAGUAGCUCAUUAGCAGUGUGAGCACAAAUAAAGAGUUUUUUCACAUUAGAAGGAAUGAAAUAGUUUUUUAUUGCAUGGUUAAGAAAUGCGAUAAAGCCAUCAUAAAAGUUAUUGACAUUUAACAAACCGAUGGGUUUCUGGUGAAUGUGUAGAUGGGCCCAAGAUGCUAGUGUCAUAAGUGCCUCUAGUGUUGCAAGAUCUCCUGGAAGGAAAAUAAAAGCAUCAGCAUGAUUAAGCAUUUCAAUUAUUCUUUCUUGCAUACCUGAGACGACUAACUCUUCUCCAGUUGAUGAGUCAGACGAACUGCCCAAUGGUUUUAGGACUCUUGGGAUGAUGCCUAACACUUGACUUCCUCUGAUAAAAGCUGCUUCUGAGACCAUUUUUGAUAACCCUCGGUUACCUCCUCCAUACACCAAGUGUAAUUUUCUCGCUGCUAUGCUUCGACCAAGAUCUAUGGCUGCCUCCACGAACUCUUUAUGUUUGCCAUAGGUAAAUCCAGAAAGCACACAAAUGUUCUUGAAUUGUCUAUUGGGAGUAGCUGUCAUUGUGAUACUUCUCAAAAACAAUUUGUGAGUGCUUGACAAAAGAUAAAUCACAUUUAAGAAUCUUGGUGAUAGUGGGUCAUAGCUGUGAAUGAGGUAACAUGUCAGUGUGAAAUAACGCGUGAAGCACAUGGCUUGCGAGUCAAAAAGGAAACAGUAAAAAGGAAAAAGCAAACAGUAAUAAAAUUAUUAAAGACAAUAAUGCAAACAAUAAAACAACAGUGAAAUGAAAUAAAAUAACAGUAAAGUAAAAGGAUAUUUACACGUAGUUGCGACUGUGGCUCACAUCUUCCUCUGGUUUUACGUCCAGAAACGGCUUGAACACCCUCUAUGGGUCGAGGAUAGGCUUCCUAUCCAGUUUUCUUAUAAACUGGCAAACAGGGUCGUUUAUAGUCAGAUUCCCAAGACUAUAUCGUGCAUACUCUUUCUGGAAUAAUGGUCAUAACUGGAGAAUCGCUCCUUGCACAUAUCCACUAGGAUGCGUUUCAAGAGACAAAAGGAUAUCAUCCAAUGACUCCUUAUUCAAGCCAUCCCUAAUGAAUUGAAUCUUAUCUUCCCUGUUAUCAGACACCAUUCCUAAAGAACAUGGGUUUCUAUCGCAACUCAUUCUGGCACACUUAUGACAAGCAACAGAAAUUCUUCGAGCUCGUCGUUUUCUUGCGUAAUUUCCUUUACCACAACCAGGCAUGUAUGUAAUAAAUUUAGGAGGUAACUCACCUGCCAAUCGUACUUUAGCCUCGAUUAACCAACGGAUGUCUGCAGGUAUGUUAUUCCUCAUGAGCAAUCGCAUGCGUUCAGACCGGGCUUUAUAGAUUGUAAGGAGGGCAUUCUGAGGAAGUGAAGGGAAUCGCUUGUGAAGCUUUGCUAAAAUCUCGUUUCUAUCCAUACCUUCGCCUCAGAAUAUCAGUUAUUAUGGGAAACUGAAGUUAACCGACUUGAUUGUCACGGAGUACCGUUAUCCGCCACUUCACCGGGGUAACAAACUAAAGCACACAAACAGAAAAACAAAUCAAAACACACAAAGAAAAUUAAAACGUCCUCUUAUUGAAUUUACCUCAAGCUCCAACUGGAUGUCGUAAACACUUCUCUCAAUAUCUCGGAGUUGGCGUUCUAAACCCUCAACAUAGGCUACUAACUCUGGUGGUUGUAGAGCCCAAAUGCGUUGUGUUUUACAAAAUUGAAUCUGCUUUUUGAGAUGAGUUUUGACACAUUGAAGUGGUUUAAGAAUGUUCAGGAGGAACGGUCUAAGUAUGGUACUCAUGAUUAACAAUGAUAAGAAAAAAGAAAACUUAAUGGUAAAACAAACACACUUAUGCAAAAAUAAUUUCAAUUAGCAAAAGAAUAAUAAAAAGAAAGAAAGAAAAAUCAAAUCAACGAAAAGAAAAAACAAAUCAAUUCAAAUCUGGUGGGUCACUCAAAUUUAUUUCGGUGUCUUCUCCAUGUGGUUGGUAUUCUAGAUAUGGCUUUAAUCUUUGACCAUUAACUUUAAACGUGACACCGUUCUUUGGGUCUUUAAUUUCAAUUGCCCCAUGUGGAAAAACAGUAUGAACAAUAAAGGGACCAGACCAUCGAGAGCGUAACUUACCUGGGAAUAGGUGCAAACGAGAAUUGAAUAAAAGCACUUUCUGACCUGGAGUGAACGAUUUUCUCAUAAUGUGCUUGUCAUGAAAGACUGUCAUUCGUUGCUUAUAAAUCUUGGCAUUUUCGUAUGCAUCAUUGCGAAUUUCUUCAAGUUCUGCCAGUUGUAAUCUUCUUUCUGAGCUGGCUUGCUGCAUGUCAAAGUUGAAUUUCUUGAUGGCCCAAUAUGCACGAUGCUCGAGUUCCACAGGUAGGUGGCAAGCUUUUCCAUACACUAGCCUGUAGGGUGACAUCCCAAUCGGGGUCUUGAAAGUCGUUCUAUAUGCCCAUAAUGCAUUAUCAAGUCUUAAUGACCAAUCUUUUCUGUCUGGCCUCACCGUCUUUUCUAAUAUGUGCUUUAUUUCUCGAUUGGAGAUCUCAACUUGGCCACUGGUUUGCGGAUGAUACGGGGUUGCCACUUUGUGUGUGAUUGAAUACUUUGUCAAAAGAGCUUUGAAUGCUUUGUUACAAAAGUGGGCACCACCAUCACUGAUUAUUGCUCGAGGGAAUCCAAAGCGCGAAACAAUGUUGCUUUUCAAAAAUCCUAUCACCACCUUGUGAUCAUUGGUUCUACAUGGAAUUGUUUCUACCCAUUUUGAGACGUAGUCAACACCAACCAAUAUGUAUUUAUGGCCAAAAGAAGGGGGAAAGGGUCCCAUGAAGUCGAUACCCCAUACGUCAAAAAUCUCAACCACUAAAAUUGGAUUUAGUGGCAUCAUGUUCCUUCGUGUAAUGCUCCCCAUUCGUUGACACCUAUCACAUGAAGAACAGAAAGUGUAAGCAUCUCGAAAUAUAGUUGGCUAAUAGAAACCACAUUGUAAAACUUUAGUCGCUGUUUUCUUAACACUGAAAUGGCCUCCACAAGCUUGUUCAUGGCAGAAUGAAAGGAUAUUCUGAAUUUCACUUUCAGGGACACAUCGUCUAACAAUUUGGUCUGCACAAUACUUGAACAAAUAUGGGUCAUCCCAAAAGAAAUUCUUUAUUUCCGCAAAGAAUUUAGCCUUGUCUUGCUUGGUCCAAUGCUCUGGAAAUUUACCUGUAACAAGAUAAUUAACUAUAUCAGCAUACCAAGGUAAUACUUCCACACUCAUUAAUUGUUCAUCUGGAAAUGACUCAUUUAAUAUUAAUGGCUCUGUAAUUGUGUCAAAAUGGGGACGAGAGAGAUGGUCCGCCACAACAUUUUCUGUUCCUUUCUUAUCUUUGAAUUCCAAGUCAAAUUCCUGCAAAAGUAACACCCAACGAAUUAGUCUAGCUUUUGCAUCUUUCUUUGUGAGAAGAUAUUUAAGCGCAGCAUGAUCUGUGAAUAUAAUUAUUUUACAACCAAUGAGAUAAUAUCGAAAUUUUUCCAAUGCAAACACUACUGCUAGCAUUUCUUUUUCAGUAGUUAAAUAGUUCAACUGUGCAUCAUUCAAUGUCAUACUAGCAUAGUAAAUAACAUGAGGAAUUCGAUCAACUCUUUGUCCUAAUACUGCUCCUACUGCAUAAUCAUAUGCAUCACACAUGAGCUCAAAUGGUAAGCUCCAGUUUGGGGCCUGAAUGAUGGGUGAUGAUGUCAACAACUGCUUUAAUUUUUCAAAUGCCACAAGACAUGAAUCAUUAAAGAUAAAAGGUACAUCCUUAGCAAGUAGAUUGCAUAAGGGUCUAGAAACUUUGCUAAAAUCUUUAAUGAAACGUCUAUAGAAACCAGCAUGCCCAAGGAAAGAUCUUACUUCUCUGACUGUUUUGGGUGGAGGAAGAUUAGAAAUGAGAUCCACCUUGGCUUUGUCAACCUCAAUACCUUUGCUUGAAAUGAUGUGACCGAGAACAAUACCUUGUUUUACCAUAAAAUGGCACUUCUCACAAUUCAAGACUAAGUUCUUCUCGGUACAUCUCUGCAGAACUAGAGUUAGAUGAUGUAAACAUUGAUCAAACGAAUCACCAAAGACAGACAAGUCAUCCAUAAAGACUUCAAGGAAUCGUUCAACCAUAUCAGAAAAAAUGCUUAACAUGCAUCGUUGAAAUGUAGCAGGUGCAUUACAUAAUCCAAAUGGCAUUCUCUUAUAUGCAAAUGUGCCAAAAGGGCAAGUGAAAGUAGUUUUCUCUUGAUCUUUUGGUGCUAUGGGAAUCUGAUUAUAUCCUGAAUAGCCAUCUAGAAAGCAAUAAAAUUCAUGGCCUGCUAAUCUAUCAAGCAUUUGAUCAAUAAAUGGUAAAGGAAAAUGGUUUUUACGUGUGACAUAAUUCAACUUUCUAUAAUCAAUGUAUACAUGCCAUCCUGUAGUUACUCUAGUUGGUAUCAAUUCAUUAUCAGCAUUGGUAACUACUGUGACUCCUGACUUUUUGGGGACAACUUGUACAGGACUGACCCAUGAACUAUCAGAAAUUGGGUAAAUGAUACCUGCGUCUAAUAGCUUAAGGACUUCUGUUCUAACAACUUCUUUCAUAUUAGGAUUUAACCGACGUUGCAUUUCCCUAGUAGAUUUAGCAUUUUCAUCAAGGUGAAUGUAAUGCAUGCAAUCUGUAGGGUUUAUACCUUUUAUGUCUGCUAUGGUCCAUCCUAAUGCUCCUCUGUGCUCUUUUAAAACAUCCAACAACUUACCUUUUUGUUCGUCAUUUAGGGAUGAUGAGAUGAUUACGGGUAGAGUACUUUCUUCUCCCAAAAACGCAUAUUCCAAUGUGUUGGGCAAUGGUUUGAGCUCGAGUUUCGGUGGUGAUUCUGAUGAUGGGAUGAGUUUCUUCUCUAAUGGUGCUAGUUGUUCAACUCUUGACUUCUAUUUAUUAGUGUCCAUGUAUGGUGCUGAGUCAAGCAGGGCGUUGACCUCAUCGACCGAUCUGUCAAUAUCAAAAUCCAAACCAAAGUGAGUUAAACAUGUUUGUAAAGGAUCAUCACUAAGGUUUGAAAGAAAAGUAUUAUCAACUAUUGUUUCUAUUAAAUCCACAUCAACAAUUCCAUCAUCUGUAUUGUGAGGUUGUUUGGCAAUGUUGAAGAUGUUCAGCUCCAUAGUCAUGUUGCCAAAGGACAACUGCAUAUUUCCAGUCCUGCAUUGAAUGUGAGCAUCCGCAGUUGCCAAAAAAGGUCGGCCUAAAAUAAUAGGGAUGUGCUUCCUUGAAUCCUGUAUUGAUUGAGUGUCAAUUACAAUGAAAUCAACAGGAAAAUAAAACUUGUCUACCUGGAUAAGCACGUCCUCUACAAUACCACGAGGUAUUUUCGUAGACCGAUCUGCAAGCUGUAACACCACUGGAGUUGGGUGUAAUUCUCCAAGUCCAAGUUUCAAAAAUACAGAGUAAGGCAACAGAUUUACACUAGCUCCUAAAUCCAACAAAGCAUUCUCAAUUGUGUGGUUCCCUAUACUACAUGAGAUAGUGGGGGAGCCUGGGUCUUUGCAUUUUAAAGGAAUUUUAUGUUGGAGUAUAGAACUAACGUUUUCUGUUAAAAAUGCCUUCUUUUGAACAUGCAUGUUUCUCUUUUUAGUACAAAGGUCUUUAAGAAACUUGGCAUAAGAUGGAACUUGUUUAAUAGCAUCAAGUAAAGGGAUGUUAACACUUACCUGUUUGAAGAUUUCGAGAAUCUCACCUGUGGAUUUUCCCUUCUUUCCUUUCGCUAACCUCUGAGGAAAUGGAGCUUUAGGAACAUAUUCUCGUGGGUUGGUUUCUUCUUUUUCCUCCGGUGGUGAGUCCUCAACAUUCACAGGUACAAUUUAAUUUUCUUUUGUCACCAGCAUCUCUACUUUGUUGUCGACUUCCUUUCCUUUUCGCAAGGUCAUGACUGCUUUGACCUCUCCAUGCUGUUGUGGUGAACUGGUACUUGCUUCAUGUACUCCUUUAGGAUUAGGCACUGGUUGACUUGGAAAUUUACCUUUCUCAACAGUAAUUGUCAAGGUCUGAACUGAAGAAGCAAGUUGUCCCACCAUCUUCUCGAGGCUUGAAACUGAUUGGGCUUGUGAGUUGAAGCCCGCUCUCAACUCAUUUCGUAGUCCAUCAAUGGUGCGAUUCUGUUGCUCAAUCGUGGAGUGAGUAAGAUUCUUGAGAUUCUAGAAUGAAUCCUCCCAUGGUCUGGGUUGAGAGUAGUUCUGGUUCUGAUUGAAUGGUCUAAAUGGGGGCUGAGAGGCUUGAGGAACUUGAGGAAUUGGUGGAGCUGGAGCUGCUGGUCCAUUCUGUUGGAAUCCUUGAGACCAUGAAAAAUUGGGGUGGUCUCUCCAUCCAGGGUUAUAUGUGUUGGAGUAUGGGUUGUAAUUCGAUGGUUUUCUCAUUACACCUAUGGCAUUGGCUUGAUCUGAGUAUGAGUCAUGGUCAUGUGGCUCUGUUGAUUUAGCAGUCGAUAACGAUGCUAUUUGUCGAGAGAGACCUUCUAUUAUUGCUUUGACUUCUUUGAUUUCUGAAUUUGACUCGCCAAUUUGAACCUCAUUCACUCCUUUAAUUCUUCUAGUAUUCCUGAGUGAUCGACUCCGUUGUUGGGAAUUAUCCGCUUGUUGCUGGAAGAAUUCCCAAAUCUCUUAUGCACUUUUUGACAUUAGCUCUCCUGCACUUGUUGCCAUUAGCCAUUCUUGCACAUUCGGCAAUAAUCCCUCCAAAAAGUAUUGGCAUUGGUGCCAUUUCUCGUACCCAUGAUGUGGACACUUCAAGAGUAGCCCAUUAAAUCGCUCCCAUGUUUCGAAAAACUGCUCGUUCUCUCUCUGUGUAAACUCUGAAAUUUCCCUGCGAAUAGCAUUGGUUUUAUGCACUGGGAAAUAUUUAUUCAAAAAUUUUGUAACCAUUUGUUCCCAUGAUGCAAUGCUAUUAGCAGGCAAUGUAUUAAGCCAUGAACGAGCUCUAUCCUUUAAAGAAAAUGGGAAUAAUCUGAGUUUAACAUCAUCGUCUGAAAAAUUCUCAUAUUUGAAUGUUUGACAAAUGGCAUGAAAAUCAUUCAAAUGAUUAUAUGGAUCCUCAUUUUCUAGGCCAUAAAAUGUGGGAAGACAAUUUAACACACUAGGUUUUAAUUCAAAACUCCUAGCAGCUACAUUUGGGUAUCUUAUACAUGAUGUGCUCAAAUUAGCUAAGGGACUAAAAUAAUCCUUAAAUGGCCUCUCCUGUGGUGCUUGUAAAUCCAUUCCAAAUUUAUUUUUAAUGUGCUUUUGUGUGCGGAGUGUUUUUUCUAAUUCAAGGUCUAUAGGUUCAAGAUUAGGUAAUAAUGACCUACGACCAUGCAUGCAAAAUAAAAUAAAAAUAAAAAUAAAGAUGGGAACAAAACAAAUAAAAAUAAAUAAGAGGGAGAAAUUAUGAUACUAACCUUAUUGCGCUAUUACAACCUUUCUAUAAAAAUACACAAAAACAAAUACGUGAAAUAAAUUAACUAAAAAUUAAAUUAAUAAAAUAAACAAAAAUUACAAAGAAAAAAUAAAUUGAAAAUUAAAUUACAAAAUUUUAAAGAAGAGAAAAAGAAAAGAAAUACUAACCUUUAAAUGUAGAUUUACUUUUUUUUUUAAUAAUAAAAAAAAUACAAGAAAACAAAUAAAAGAAAUUAUUCACAAAAAUUAAUUCUAUGAAUUAAAAUUACUUACCUCCCCGGCAACGGCGCCAAAAACUUGUUGUGCAAAUUUUAAUGUACUCGCAAGCGCACGAAUCUAUUGUAGUAUAAAUCAAUGGUGACGAGUGUCGAUCCCACGAGGAGGUGGAUUUUAAUUGUGUAUAGAAUUAAUUUUGCAAAUGGUUGAUUGGAUUUGUGGUGGAAAUGAUUUGGAAUAUGCUAAAACUUAAAUUAAAAUGGCGAUAAUAAAUUCUGAAAUUGGAAUUGAAAUGGCGAGAAUAAAUUGAAGAGAAUUCUAUUGAAAUGACGUACUUGGGUAUCUGGAUCCGUAUCAACAUGCAUCAUGGGCUAAAUAUUCCUUAUUAAUACCAAUUAAAUCAUGAGGGGGGAAUCCACACCUCAUGAACCACGCUCUAAUCAAUAUGGUGCUAAGGGCUUAUCGUGCCAAAUAAUAAUAACCUUAUACUAGAGGGCCGGUGUAACCAAUGCGGUAUCUAGACAAGAUCAGUAUUAUUUGUCGACGAUAAGUCAAAUCAUCCACAAAAACUAGAGGGGAAAAGAAAAUAAAUUUACCAAAUAAAACCCAUGACACAUGUUGAGACUUCACCUUCAACCCAAGCUUGAAAGGAAAUUAGCUACUCAUAAUUGAACUAGGGGCAAAAUGGAAAUUUAUUAAAAUACAAAGAAAAUACAAGAUGGAGAAGGAAUUACAGAAAAUGGAUCCCAAAAAUGGAUUCAGAGAUAUCCAAUUAGGGGGGGAGGCCCCCUUUUUAUAGAUACAUGGAGUAAAUCAUGGCCAUCGGAUUAAAAACAGUUUGGACGCUCAGGAUUGCGUCAUGUCAUCAGUCACCAGUCCACGGUUUGACCACGUGGAUGAACAGUAACACGGUUUGACCACGUGGAUGAACAGUAACACGGUUUGACCCGGAUGAACAGUAACGCGGUUUGGUUGAAAAUAAUCCUAUGUGAUGCAUGCACCAUACGCGAGAUUUUUCGUCCACUGAUAUGCUGCCACGUCAUCAUCAACAGUACAUAAGAAUUUUAGUCCAACAGGAUCGUGACACCUCAUCAGUCAAUGCCACAUCAUCGGUCAAUGCCACGUCAUCGAUCCGUCUAUGUGAACAGUGUCGUGAACAGUAACGUAGACAGUACCGUACACGUGAAUAGUACCGUACAUGUGAAUAGUGUCAUUUUUCCUUUUAUGCUCUUCCUAAGGUUUUCGACCGUCCUGAGUUCAUAAGUGAUGUCCGUUUUUCCGUCUGAUCUCUCUUUUAUUUUGAAAUGACUAUAAUGCCCCUAAAAUACAUAAAAUACUUAAUUAAAAUAAAACACACGGAAUUAAAUCAAAAGAAGGUUAAAUUCAUAAAAGUAAAAGUGUUAGUAAAACUUGUAGUGUAAAAUGAUGAUUUUCUCUUUUAUAAAUAUACAUUUUCUAACACUCAACACAUAUCGCCAGCGAACCAUCGGUCAAACUCAUCAUAUAUACUAGAAUCCUCCAAUCCUCUAAGUAGAUUUAUAUUCACACUCGUACUCAUGUCAAUCGCAUGGUCCAUGAUUUAGGGUGGAGGUAAAGGCUGGACAUUCUUUCCUCGCUUGACUGGAGGAAUCAUGUAAGGACUAUUAAAAACAUACGACGGUCUGUACACUCGGCCGAACUUACUAAUGACCGGAGGUGCCUCAGUGAAGACCUACACGCUCUCCCCACUAACAUCCCCGUAGAAACUAUACAACGACGUGGGAGUAGAAAAAUUUUGAUUGCCCACAUCAUUAUACACUUCAUAGUCAUCUGGGGCCUGUCCAUUCGGUAAGAUGAACAUAUUAAACAACUAUCAAAUUAAAAGCUAAACGAAAUCCUUGUUUGGACAUUUAAACAGUGAAUCGAUAAAUCCCACCACGGUUUCUUUAAAAUCUUUAAAUUCUGACUUAAGUUCAUAAAUGUUACGAUCAAUCUUGUCCAUCCGUCGUCUCAUAUAAUCAUUAAACUACUUUGUCCUCAACUAUUACAAAGAAAAAAAAUUUAUAAUAACAUAUUGUUAUAAUGAUUUAUAUAUGAGGAAAAGAAAUUAUUUAUAACCUCGAAAUCAUGUGCGUCAUCAGACUUGUCUGUCUGCUUCUGAUGGUCAUCUACAGGCACCUCAUCCUGAAAUAUCUCGUGAUGCUGCUCUAGUGUUAGGUUCUGAUAACUCUAUGAAAUGAGAGUUAUCAUGGCACUUUUAGACUUAAAUCAAUAAUACUUAAAGAGUAAAUGAUGUGUUUUCAUUGUAUUUUUGUUAUAUUUUGUAUAAACAUUCAUUUUAAUUUAGUCUUAAUAAAUUUUACUUGAUUUAGAGUAAUUCGUCCCCAAAUUGUGUGCUUAAUUGUAGGUGUCCAUAAGCUUAUUUUUCACAGAAGGAAUGUUGUUGCAACAAGCUUGCAAAAAUGAAGAAGAACAUGGCUACAUAAGAAUUGAAACAAAAUCUGGAACAAUGUGGUGCUGUAGCCGUUGCUAGAGCAGUGAUGAGCAUAAUUUAUAUACAUAUUUUAGCCUUUAUUGUAUAUUUGCUAGUUAAUUUUAUUUGUUAUUUUUAAUUAAUUGAAUUGUUUUAUUGAAUAGGGAAUUAAUUGGAGAUUGGAAAUAAAAAGUGAAAAAGAAUAAUAAUUUAGGGAAAUAUUAGUUGAAGCUGUGAUAGAGUUAAGAGCCAAGAGCAAUUUGCAUUGAAAAAGAAUUUCAAUUCUCCAAUUGAGUUGCACGUCCAUAGCAUUGCAAAAGGGGAAAGCAAUUUAAAUGGGGCCCACACUUGACUUUCAAAAGUGGAAUUAAUGGCUGGCGUUAUUAUGGAAGCUUUGUUUCAUAAUUGGAAAAGGAUUUUAAUUAGUAGACAAAGAGGAUUCGGUGGCUAAGCAUUAUAAAAGAGAGUUUUGUUUCUUUAAUGAUUAUGGUUUUUAUUUCACAUGAUUAAUUGGAUGUUAAUAAAAUCUUUUCAUCAAUUCUGUCAUGCAUUAUUGAUUGUUAAGGUUAAUAUUCGAUUAAUUCUAUGCUUGGUUCUAUAAAGUUUAUACAUGAUUAUCUUUGAUUUUAUGUCUUUCAUUAAAUUGUUUACAUGGAGUGCUUAGGAAACUUUGACUCUUUGUUAUUCAAUAUGUUUACAUGAGAUUCUUAGAUGUCAUAUUAUUAAGCAGAAAAAGAACCUACAUUAGAUUUAAGUACUUGGGCUUAAUUGUUAUAUCCAUGAGAUGACAUAGAUUGAUUUCGAGUUGUCACUCUAAAAUUGGGGAUUAAUUAAUAAUUAGAUAAUUACUAGUUGAAUAGUGGUGGAUUCUGAAACCUUGGUAAUUCUUAUUUUAUUGAAUUCUCCUUUAUUUUAAUUGCUUCCUUAGUUUAAUUGGUUUAAUUUUCUUAGAAACUCAAUUUGGUCAACUAGGUUAGAAUUUAUAUUAAUUUUAGAUUUAAAUUAGACUUUUCAAUUUAUAACAAUCCUUGUGGGAUCGACCUCGUUACCACU